rnacentral:rRNA from 1 species
ACUCCUACGGGAGGCAGCAGUGAGGAAUAUUGGUCAAUGGUCGCAAGACUGAACCAGCCAUGCCGCGUGCAGGAAGACGGUCCUAUGGAUUGUAAACUGCUUUUUAUACAGGAAGAAACCCUCCCACGUGUGGGAGCUUGACGGUACUGUAGGAAUAAGGAUCGGCUAACUCCGUGCCAGCAGCCGCGGUAAUACGGAGGAUCCAAGCGUUAUCCGGAAUCAUUGGGUUUAAAGGGUCCGUAGGCGGCCUUAUAAGUCAGUGGUGAAAGCCCAUCGCUCAACGAUGGAACUGCCAUUGAUACUGUAAGGCUUGAAUUAUUGUGAAGUAACUAGAAUAUGUAGUGUAGCGGUGAAAUGCUUAGAUAUUACAUGGAAUACCAAUUGCGAAGGCAGGUUACUAACAAUGGAUUGACGCUGAUGGACGAAAGCGUGGGAGCGAACAGGAUUAGAUACCCCUGGUAGGAUAGCG